rnacentral:lncRNA from 1 species
GCGGGCGCCCCUCCCCCAGCCUCGCUGCCGCCUUGCAGUUUGAUCUCAGACUGCUGUGCUAGCAAUCAGCAAGUCUCCGUGGGCGUAGGACCCUCCGAGCCAGGUGCAGGAUUUAAUCUCGUGGUGCGCCGUUUUUUUAAGCCGGUCGGAAAAGCGCAAUAUUCGGGUGGGAGUGACCCGAUUUUCCAGAAUGUCUCUCUGGCUUCCUCUCCCUCUCAGAGACCCAAUUUGGAACUGAAACCCUGAGUACAGCAAAACUGCAUUUCCCAAGCUCCUCUUCUCUCAAUGGGUCACAUGACUUGUUCUAGCCAAUAGAACGAGGGUGGAAGUAAUGUGACCACUUUCAGGUGUCCCCUAAAGUCUCCUGUGAGAUCUUCCAAUCUUGCUCUCCUCACUCUGCAUGGCUGGAAAUGAA